CUCCUUGUUCCUUGAUCUUCAAUUCUUCAAAAUUAAUUCUAACUAUUCCUAUUACAAAACUAUUUUAAAAUAAAUAGAAACCUUGAUCAGCAGUCAAGGGGAAGUACAUAGGAGGGAGAUAGAAUUUACAUUAAGAAAAAUUAGAGAAGACGAGGUACGCAGACCCCAUUUAAUAAAACCCAUACAUUCAUGCAUCCAACUAAAAUAAAAUCCAAUCACAUUGGUCAAU
rnacentral:lncRNA from 1 species